AACGAACGCUGGCGGCAGGCCUAACACAUGCAAGUCGAGCGAACCCUUCGGGGUUAGUGGCGGACGGGUGAGUAACACGUGGGAACGUGCCUUUAGGUUCGGAAUAACUCAGGGAAACUUGUGCUAAUACCGAAUGUGCCCUUCGGGGGAAAGAUUUAUCGCCUUUAGAGCGGCCCGCGUCUGAUUAGCUAGUUGGUGUGGUAAUGGCUCACCAAGGCUACGAUCAGUAGCUGGUCUGAGAGGAUGACCAGCCACAUUGGGACUGAGACACGGCCCAAACUCCUACGGGAGGCAGCAGUGGGGAAUCUUGCGCAAUGGGCGAAAGCCUGACGCAGCCAUGCCGCGUGGAUGAUGAAGGUCUUAGGAUUGUAAAAUCCUUUCACCGGUGAAGAUAAUGACUGUAGCCGGAGAAGAAGCCCCGGCUAACUUCGUGCCAGCCGCCGCGGUAAUAC
rnacentral:rRNA from 1 species